AGAGUUUGAUCCUGGCUCAGAACGAACGCUGGCGGCAGGCUUAACACAUGCAAAGUCGAACGCACCGCAAGGUGAGUGGCAGACGGGUGAGUAACGCGUGGGAACGUGCCCUUCAGUUCGGGAUAACCCAGGGAAACUUGGGCUAAUACCGGAUACGUGCGAGAGCAGAAAGAUUUAUCGCUGAAGGAUCGGCCCGCGUCUGAUUAGCUAGUUGGUAGGGUAAUGGCCUACCAAGGCGACGAUCAGUAGCUGGUCUGAGAGGAUGAUCAGCCACAUUGGGACUGAGACACGGCCCAAACUCCUACGGGAGGCAGCAGUGGGGAAUAUUGGACAAUGGGCGCAAGCCUGAUCCAGCCAUGCCGCGUGAGUGAUGAAGGCCUUAGGGUUGUAAAGCUCUUUCGUCCGGGACGAUAAUGACGGUACCGGAAGAAGAAGCCCCGGCUAACUUCGUGCCAGCAGCCGCGGUAAUACGAAGGGGGCUAGCGUUGUUCGGAAUCACUGGGCGUAAAGGGCGCGUAGGCGGCCUGAUAAGUCGGGGGUGAAAGCCUGUGGCUCAACCACAGAAUUGCCUUCGAUACUGUCGGGCUUGAGACCGGAAGAGGUAAGUGGAACUGCGAGUGUAGAGGUGAAAUUCGUAGAUAUUCGCAAGAACACCAGUGGCGAAGGCGGCUUACUGGUCCGGUUCUGACGCUGAGGCGCGAAAGCGUGGGGAGCAAACAGGAUUAGAUACCCUAGUAGUCC
rnacentral:rRNA from 1 species